CCGGGGUGCAGUGCCUGACUCAACUCAUAAGACAAACCCUAACCACGCCUCCCUCCCCCGGGAGCUCUGGCCACGCGCAUAUAAGGACACACACAAGGGGUGUCUGACACCCCCAGGACUGGGCUCCCCACCUCCACCCACCAGCCAUUCGGGGACAGGCGGACUCAGAUACAUGGGUGGGGCAGACCACACGGAGCGCAGGGGAGACAGAGCAGGACUCUGCCUCGAACCCUGGGGGCAUGGGACUCUCCCCAGAGCCCACCAGUCCAUCCCCUCCUCCUCUGCAGGGACUGCGGCCUGCUGGUGCCGCUCCGGCACCCACUCUCUGAGGGAUGGAGCCAGCGUUGCCGUGGAAACGGGCAUCUAGGAUUGGAAUUCGUUCCUAACACGCCGGCGUUUUGUCUCUUAAUUCAUUGGACUUAAUGGUGACGUCCCUGCAGUGCAGGAGCAGCUUCUGACUCCGACGGCCGUGGCUCCGGACCACGGCUCCACACCUCCACGUGAAGAGACCCGAGUGAGAAACAAGAUGAAGCGGAAAGGGGCGAAACGUCGGCCAGACAUCAUCAAACCAAAGGCAAGGCGGCGUCCUCCCUGCCCCUCGGCCCUUCCUGGAGCUCCGGGCCAGCAGGGGCCUCCAGCACCGGUGGGCGGGGAAGCCUGUCCCACCUGGCCCGGCUGAGCCUGAUCAGUUCCCAGUGCUUUCGGUAGCAAGGAACAGGAACAGAAAACUGUCCCAUUGCAACUUUAAAAUAGAAGCUUCAUUUUGCCAGUAAAGAGAGUUGUGGAGGCCGGUGGCUGCGGGCACCCCUGAACCACCCAGGAAUGAGUGCGCAGGGGCCUGGCGGGGCCUGGCGGGGAGACCCCACUUAACUCACAGGGAAGCUGGGAGCACUGCCCUUCCUGCUCACCCAGGGCAGCCCUAGAAUUGCACCAUCAACCAGAGCCUGCUGCUGGCAAAGGGGCCCGGAGGUCUCCGCAGUCAGACCACGCACCUCAGGUCACGGAGCUCGGGCGGGUACAUGUUCGGGUACAGGGCACGAGGUGGGGAGGUGGGAAGGGAUGGGGGCCAGUGCCUGAGGCCCCAGAUGCCUGAUGCCCCUAGGGAGGGCCGGAGGGCACUGCCAGGCCUUCACGAGCUCGCAGAGGGGUCCUGCGGAGACCUGCUCCGGUCCCUCCAGGCCUGUCCUCUUCUGUGAAGGGGAAACUGGCCCAGGAGCUUCCGAACCCUUCCGAGGGAGCCUGGUCAGCCUUCGGGAGACCCAGCCGGACAACCGGAGGCAGAGUCUCCAAGCCACAGGCUGUCCGGGGUCCUGCUCCAGCCACCAGCCACUGAGGCCCAGCCAGUCCUCCCCGGCCUAGGGCAUCCCUUUGGAGCUGCCAACCUCAGUACCUGCCUCCAUCCCCUGCUCCCCAGCCUCCGU